rnacentral:rRNA from 1 species
UACGUCGGGGGCAAGCGUUGUCCGGAUUUACUGGGUGUAAAGGGCGCGUAGGCGGGUUUGCAAGUCAGAGGUGAAAUACUACAGCUUAACUGUAGAACUGCCUUUGAAACUGCUAUUCUUGAGUGCGGAAGAGAGAGACGGAAUUCCAGGUGUAGCGGUGAAAUGCGUAGAUAUCUGGAGGAACUCCAGUAGCGAAGUCGGUCUCUUGGUCCGUUACUGACGCUCAGGCGCGAAAGCGUGGGGAGCAAACAGG